CGUGCAGGCGGUUCUGAAAGUCGGACGUGAAAGCUCCCGGCCCAACUGGGAGAGGCCGUUCGAAACUGGAGGACUAGAGGAUGGUAGAGGCAAGUGGAAUUCCCGGUGUAGUGGUGAAAUGCGUAGAUAUCGGGAGGAACACCAGCGGCGAAGGCGGCUUGCUGGGCCAAACCUGACGCUCAGACGCGAAAGCCAGGGGAGAGAACG
rnacentral:rRNA from 1 species